GAUAGCUCAGUGGAUGGAGCAUGAGAUUCUCAAUCUCAGGGCUGUGGGUUUGAGCCCCAGUGUUGUCCU